rnacentral:rRNA from 1 species
GCAUAUCAUAGCGGAGGAAAAGAAACCAACAGGGAUUGCCCCAGUUAACGGCGAAGUGAAGCGGCAAAAGCUCAAAUUUGAAAUCUGGCUCCUUUCGGGGUCCGAGUUGUAAUUUGAAGAGGAGGCUUUGGGUGCGUCCGCGGCGUAAGUCCCUUGGAACAGGGCGUCAUAGAGGGUGAGAAUCCCGUCUUGAGUCGCCGGCGCGCGCCCGUUUAAAGCUCCUUCGACGAGUCGAGUUGUUUGGGAAUGCAGCUCUAAGUGGGUGGUAAAUUUCAUCUAAAGCUAAAUAUUGGCCGGAGACCGAUAGCGAACAAGUAGAGUGAUCGAAAGGUUAAAAGCACCUUGAAAAGGGAGUUAAAUAGCACGUGAAAUUGUUGAAAGGGAAGCGCUUGCAGCCAGACUCGGGUUCGGAGGCUCAGCGGGUAUUGUUAUGCCCGUGCACUCCUCCGCACCCGGGCCAGCAUCAGUUUUGGCGGCCGGUCAAAGGCCCCCGGAAUGUGUCGUCCUCCGGGACGUCUUAUAGCCGGGGGUGCAAUGCGGCCAGCCGGGACUGAGGAACGCGCUUCGGCACGGAUGCUGGCGUAAUGGCUGUAAGCGGCCCGUCUUGAAACACGGACCAAGGAGUCUAACAUCCACGCGAGUGUUCGGGUGUCAAACCCGUACGCGCAGUGAAAGCGAACGGAGGUGAGAGCCCCUUCGGGGGCGCAUCAUCGACCGAUCCUGAAGUCUUCGGAUGGAUUUGAGUAAGAGCGUGGCUGUUGGGACCCGAAAGAUGGUGAACUAUGCCUGAAUAGGGUGAAGCCAGGAGAAAUUCUGGUGGAGGCUCGCAGCGGUUCUGACGUGCAAAUCGAUCGUCAAAUUUGGGUAUAGGGGCGAAAGACUAAUCGAACCAUCUGGUAGCUGGUUCCUGCCG